rnacentral:lncRNA from 1 species
GCUGAAUCUAAAGCCCAGCUUCUAUCUGGAAACUCAGUGUGCUGAGUAACGUGAUAAAGGCAAAGAAUUGAAUGACCAGUUUCACCUGGAGAGAUCUGGCAUCUCCGAACGUGCGAUGACAGCUGCCAUUGAGGGGGAGCCAUCGGCAAGGGCAUGCGACCGCAGGAAAGCAUCCAAGGGGUGUCCCUGUUCUACCACCAGUGGCCACUAGAGGGAGCCAGGAGAAGAAGGCGGCCUGCCCAGCGGAGCCAGCAAUAGCAGUGGGCCAAGCAGGAAGCAGAGGAUGGGAGAGAAAGGACCGGAAGUGGAGAUGCAGGAGCCCAAAUAAAGAGACUGACAUAAAGCCUGAGGCAGGAGCAGUGGACGCCAUGAUACUCCAACAGCUAGGAGGGAUCGGCAAGGUCUAAUGUUUCCUUCCCCCAGAAAAACACUUCAAACAGCAACCUUUCUCUCUUAACCCUGCUGCAAUACCUAAGCUAAUAAAUAAAAAGCAUGGUGUCUCA